GAAAAGUAGUAAAAUCUUUAUAAAAUUGUAUGCAUUGCUCCCACAACGCACCCUUGGAAAUCAAACAGAGAAACUAUCCCCUGAGCCCCGCCACCUUCAUGGGUAUCUACUGGUCUCCCUCCAGCACCUGGCCGGCUGCCUUGUGCGUGCCAGGCCGCAUCCCAAGUUCUACCGAAUGCCUUACUUGUAUCUGUUCUGUUUGAGCAGAAAGGAAUUUAAAGGAGAUUCCCAGAAUUACAAAAUCUGGACAACUUUCUGGUUAUGAAAGCAAAUGUACACGAGGAAAGGAAGUUAAAUGUUCCUCAAAACACUUGACACUGAGGCACAGAGUCCCCAGAAGAGGUUGUGCAGAGCCAGCCCCACGCCUUCUACUCUAAGGUGAGCGACUGAACUGGUCCAGAGUGAGUGUGUCCUGUGGCCUGUGGCCUGCUGGUUUCGGGGAGCUCUUGUGAUGACACACAGGAUUCCUCCACCGAGGGCUUUUCCAGUAACUUUCGUGAGUACAAGAAUUAUGGGUUGUGCCAGUUACAAGCCCCUGUGGCCGCUCGGGUGCAUGUUCAGAGCCCAGACACCUCAGCUUCCUCAUCUGUGGUUUUCUUCAUUACGGGUUUGAAUCUGUCAUCCACUGUCCAUGUGCCCAUGCAAAAUAGGUUAUUUCAGCAUACAUGGAACACAGCGGCGUUAAUGCUUCUAGAGAGGUCACUCCCGAGGAAGCCUGAAGGCCAGCAAGCGUAAGUGGACAGGGCCCUGGGGCCAGGCACUCACCCUGUUGUGUCACGAGUUCCCGUCACAUCCCGAGCUCAGUGCAUCUCCUUCCAGGGAAGCCUGAGUCUGCCCAGGCCUGGAGGACGGCAUGGUGAGAAGGAGGGGUCUCCACGAAGCUGGGCCUCCGCACAUCACACAGAGGGCAGACAAGCACAGCUUUACCCUCUUUCCACAGGUGUGGAAUAGAGACAGAGCCUUACUGGUGGCGCUGGCCAGGACUCGGCACUUUUCCUGAGGACCAAGGCUGGUGAGGACCCAGCUCAGCUAGGAGAGCAUUUCCUUAUCGACACGGGGAGUCCACUACAUGGAUUCUGCAGAUGCAAAGUCUAAAUAGCAGUCAACGCUGUAAAGCAUAGGAGGAAAGCGGCAGGUGCAUUUAAAGGGUGGUCCCCGCCAGCCAAGCCUACCACCAGCCUCCAGGCAGGGUGCGAGACACCAUCUGCUGGACGAAAGGAAUGGUGAGAAACUGCACU